rnacentral:rRNA from 1 species
UACGUAGGGUGCAAGCGUUGUCCGGAAUUACUGGGCGUAAAGGGCGCGUAGGCGGCCUGUUAAGUCGAACGUGAAUCCCUGGGCUCAACCCAGGAACUGCGUCCGAUACUGGCAGGCUUGAAUCCGGGAGAGGGAUGUGGAAUUCCAGGUGUAGCGGUGAAAUGCGUAGAUAUCUGGAGGAACACCGGUGGCGAAGGCGGCCUGCUGGGCAGUGGCUGACGGCUGAGGCGCGACAGCGGUGGGGAGCAAACAGG